AUUGAACGCUGGCGGCAGGCCUAACACACGCAAGUCGAGCGGAUGACGGGAGCUUGCUCCUUGAUUCAGCGGCGGACGGGUGAGUAAUGCCUAGGAAUCUGCCUGGUAGUGGGGGACAACGUUUCGAAAGGAACGCUAAUACCGCAUACGUCCUACGGGAGAAAGCAGGGGACCUUCGGGCCGUGCGCUAUCAGAUGAGCCUAGGUCGGAUAGCUAGUUGGUGGGGUAAUGGCUCACCAAGGCGACGAUCCGUAACUGGUCUGAGAGGAUGAUCAGUCACACUGGAACUGAGACACGGUCCAGACUCCUACGGGAGGCAGCAGUGGGGAAUAUUGGACAAUGGGCGAAAGCCUGAUCCAGCCAUGCCGCGUGUGUGAAGAAGGUCUUCGGAUUGUAAAGCACUUUAAGUUGGGAGGAAGGGCAGUAAGUUAAUGCCUUGCUGUUUUGACGUUACCGACAGAAUAAGCACCGGCUAACUCUGUGCCAGCAGCCGCAGUAA
rnacentral:rRNA from 1 species